GCCUCCCUCUUUCCUCGUGCCUAAUACAUGCAAGUUGAGCGCUGAAGGUUGGUACUUGUACCAACUGGAUGAGCAGCGCACGGGUGAGUAACGCGUGGGGAAUCUGCCUUUGAGCGGGGGACAACAUUUGGAAACGAAUGCUAAUACCGCAUAAAAACUUUAAACACAAGUUUUAAGUUUGAAAGAUGCAAUUGCCUCACUCAAAGAUGAUCCCGCGUUGUAUUAGCUAGUUGGUGAGGUAAAGGCUCACCACGGCGAUGAUACAUAGCCGACCUGAGAGGGUGAUCGGCCACAUUGGGACUGAGACACGGCCCAAACUCCUACGGGAGGCAGCAGUAGGGAAUCUUCGGCAAUGGACGAAAGUCUGACCGAGCAACGCCGCGUGAGUGAAGAAGGUUUUCGGAUCGUAAAACUCUGUUGGUAGAGAAGAACGUUGGUGAGAGUGGAAAGCUCAUCAAGUGACGGUAACUACCCAGAAAGGGACGGCUAACUACGUG
rnacentral:rRNA from 1 species